GACAAACGCUGGUGGCGUGCCUAAUACAUGCAAGUCGAACGACGAAAGCCUUCGGGCAAGUAAGAGUGGCGCACGGGCGAGGAACACGUAGAUAAUCUGCCCUUCAGUGGGGAAUAACUCUCCGAAAGGAGUGCUAAUACCGCAUAAGACCACAAGCUCUGCGGAGCAAGGGGUUAAAGGAUUUAUUCGCUGAAGGAUGAGUCUGCGUCCGAUUAGCUAGUUGGUGAGGUAAUGGCUUACCAAGGCAAUGAUCGGUAGAUAGUCUGAGAGGAUGAUCAUCUGCACUGGAACUGAGACACGGUCCAGACUCCUACGGGAGGCAGAAGUAGGGAAUAUUGCACAAUGGGGGAAACCCUGAUGCAGCAACGCCGCGUGAGUGAUGAAGGCUCUAGGGUCGUAAAGCUCUGUCGUAUGGGAAGAAAAAAAUGACGGUACCAUACAAGAAAGGACCGGCCAACUUCGUGCCAGCCGCCGCCGUAA
rnacentral:rRNA from 1 species